UGGGGAAUAUUGCACAAUGGGCGCAAGCCUGAUGCAGCCAUGCCGCGUGUGUGAAGAAGGCCUUCGGGUUGUAAAGCACUUUCAGCGGGGAGGAAGGCGUUAAGGUUAAUAACCUUGGCGAUUGACGUUACCCGCAGAAGAAGCACCGGCUAACUCCGUGCCAGCAGCCGCGGUAAUACGGAGGGUGCAAGCGUUAAUCGGAAUUACUGGGCGUAAAGCGCACGCAGGCGGUCUGUUAAGUCGGAUGUGAAAUCCCCGGGCUCAACCUGGGAACUGCAUUCGAAACUGGCAGGCUAGAGUCUUGUAGGGGGGGGUAGAAUUCCAGGUGUAGCGGUGAAAUGCGUAGAGAUCUGGAGGAAUACCGGUGGCGAAGGCGGCCCCCUGGACAAAGACUGACGCUCAGGUGCGAAAGCGUGGGGAGCAAACAGG
rnacentral:rRNA from 1 species